rnacentral:tRNA from 2 species
GCCUCCGUAGCUCAGCAGGAUAGAGCGACGGUUUCCUAAACCGCAGGUCGUGAGUUCGAAUCUCGCCGGGGGCACCA